rnacentral:miRNA from 1 species
UGACAGAAGAGAGGGAGCA